rnacentral:lncRNA from 1 species
AGGAGGCACGAGAGCGCCAUACAUACACAAACAGCGUACAAGACUCAACCACUCCCUCCUUGUUUGUUUAUAUACCUUGGCACCACCAAGGCAGCACCCUGUAAACUAACUACCAAAGCCGAAGAAGGCGGCUUGCCCUGCCCGUCGCCUUGGUGCCGCGCGCGCCAUGGCCAAGAGCAAGUCGUCCGCCAAGGCCGGCCCCCCGCUCCUCGGCAAGUACGAGCUCGGCCACCUCCUCGGCCGGGGCAACUUCGCCAAGGUAUACCACGCGCGCUGUCUCGGCGGAGGCGACCCCGUGGCCGUGAAGGUGCUG